UUCUGUCCAAAAUUUUGAAGGAAGAGUGAAAAAGGUGUGUUAUUGCAAAAUUGCAUACUCUUUGUUUGGACUUUACUUGGAUUUGCAGCCUUAGCCUACCUUUUCAUUGCUAUCUCUCCCAACAAACAAGUUAUCUCGCUUAGGCAUUUGUGGUAAUCAACAGUACCAAAAUAUCCAUCACUUCAUUUCAAUUUUGUUAUCAUUUUUUAAUAAGAGAUAUUUUCAAAUUGUAGCAUAUCAUCUUAUAAAGUUGAAGAUUGUAUGCCGGAUAUAUUUUAACUGAUUAAAGGAGGUUGUGUGUGAAAAUUAGUAAUUAGUAAAUAAUAAGAGUGACUUUUCUCUUCCAAAUCUUUAGCAUAAGUUUAGUAUAGGUUAAUCAACUAAUGAAACAACUAUUAAAUAAUUAUAGGGGUCGAUGAUAAAAAUCUUUUAUAUAUUAAACGUAAUAAAAUACUCAAUUCAUCGCAACUCUUUAAAAUACUUAAUUCAUCCUAAAAUUAAUGUUUAAUAAUAAUUAAUUAUAAUUUAUAUUAUUACUACAAAAAAUUUAUAAUUGAUACUAAAUAAUUAUAAUGUGUGUAUAUAAUUUGAAAGUUAAUUAUAAUAUUGAUAUUUUUUCCCCUUUGAACCUCUCUUUCAAGGUACAUAUAUAGUAUAAAAAAAUUCAUAUAUAGUAUUAAUUAAGUAUAUAAUUGAUAAUAUUACUUAAUAAUAAAUUGUUUAAAAGAAUUCGAAUUUAAAUUUUAAUUAAAAUUAUUUUUAGUUAAAUUUUAUUUUUUCCAUCAAAUUUAGAAUUACUAAAAUAUUAAAAAAUAAAUGCAGUAUUCUAAAAAUGAAAAGGAAAGGAAGAAGAGAGGUAACCUUUUCUUUGUGGAAGGAAAAAGAAAUUAAAGAGAAAAACAAGUGGGGAGGGGAAAAAAAAGGACAGAUUCGAUAAAAUGCGGAUAAGAUGCAUAUCUUGUUAUGACAAAAAAGAAAACACACUCACAGUAGCAGCCACUUAAAGGUGGAUGUGGGGAGGAUCCACCCACCACUUGUAGCAUGUAAAAACGCAACUCCAUCUACCAUGUUUUAAAUCCUCAGGAAAUCGCAAAACUUCCAUCUAGUAAUUUCAGAAAUCGAUAUUUGGCAAUCAAAACUUCACCUCAAUCCUCUAUGGCUCGUCAGAUUGGUGUUGAUUGAAAAUAAAUAAAAAGAGAAAAUUAUGAUAAAUUGAGCUUUAAACAUUCAUAAUACUAGUAACUUUUUUACUUACCCUACAUCAAUUAAGUCACUAUUUUGAUAAUAUGAAACUUUUAUAAACUAAAAUUUACGAGAAAGAUUUAAUUGAUAUGAAUUAGGUAUUGAUUGAGAGAGUAUUUUUGAAAAAAGUCAUAAAUAUAAGUGAAAGAAAAAAAAAAGUCAUUUUCGAUUACCACUACUACAAUAAUUUUUUAGUCUUUUUUUCUUGUUUGUAAGUUUUGUG
rnacentral:lncRNA from 1 species